GCUUACGGCCAUACCAGCCUGGGUACGCCCGAUCUCGUCUGAUCUCGGAAGCUAAGCAGGGUCUGGUCUGGUUAGUACUUGGAUGGGAGACCGCCUGGGAAUACCAGGUGCUUUAAGCA
rnacentral:rRNA from 1 species